CACGUAGGGGGCAAGCGUUGUCCGGAAUCACUGGGCGUAAAGCGCACGUAGGCGGACUCUUAAGUCGGUGGUGAAAUCCUGGAGCUCAACUCCAGAACUGCCUUUGAUACUGGCGAUCUCGAGUCCGGGAGAGGUGAGUGGAACUGCGAGUGUAGAGGUGAAAUUCGUAGAUAUUCGCAAGAACACCAGUGGCGAAGGCGGCUCACUGGCCCGGUACUGACGCUGAGGUGCGAAAGCGUGGGGAG
rnacentral:rRNA from 1 species